rnacentral:rRNA from 1 species
UAGUCGAAAAUGUUGUCUCUCUUGAGUGGAUCCUGAGUACGACGGAGCACGUGAAAUUCCGUCGGAAUCUGGGAGGACCAUCUCCUAAGGCUAAAUACUCUCUAGUGACCGAUAGUGAACCAGUACCGUGAGGGAAAGGUGAAAAGCACCCCGGAAGGGGAGUGAAAUAGAACCUGAAACCGUGUGCUUACAAGUAGUCAGAGCCCGUUAAUGGGUGAUGGCGUGCCUUUUGUAGAAUGAACCGGCGAGUUACGAUUUGAUGCAAGGUUAAGCAGUAAAUGUGGAGCCGUAGCGAAAGCGAGUCUGAAUAGGGCGUUUAGUAUUUGGUCGUAGACCCGAAACCAGGUGAUCUACCCUUGGUCAGGUUGAAGUUCAGGUAACACUGAAUGGAGGACCGAACCGACUUACGUUGAAAAGUGAGCGGAUGAACUGAGGGUAGCGGAGAAAUUCCAAUCGAACCUGGAGAUAGCUGGUUCUCUCCGAAAUAGCUUUAGGGCUAGCCUCAAGUGAUGAUUAUUGGAGGUAGAGCACUGUUUGGACGAGGGGCCCCUCUCGGGUUACCGAAUUCAGACAAACUCCGAAUGCCAAUUAAUUUAACUUGGGAGUCAGAACAUGGGUGAUAAGGUCCGUGUUCGAAAGGGAAACAGCCCAGACCACCAGCUAAGGUCCCAAAAUAUAUGUUAAGUGGAAAAGGAUGUGGCGUUGCCCAGACAACUAGGAUGUUGGCUUAGAAGCAGCCAUCAUUUAAAGAGUGCGUAAUAGCUCACUAGUCGAGUGACACUGCGCCGAAAAUGUACCGGGGCUAAACAUAUUACCGAAGCUGUGGAUUGUCCUUUGGACAAUGGUAGGAGAGCGUUCUAAGGGCGUUGAAGCAUGAUCGUAAGGACAUGUGGAGCGCUUAGAAGUGAGAAUGCCGGUGUGAGUAGCGAAAGACGGGUGAGAAUCCCGUCCACCGAUUGACUAAGGUUUCCAGAGGAAGGCUCGUCCGCUCUGGGUUAGUCGGGUCCUAAGCUGAGGCCGACAGGCGUAGGCGAUGGAUAACAGGUUGAUAUUCCUGUACCACCUAUA